AUUGAACGCUGGCGGAAUGCUUUACACAUGCAAGUCGAACGGCAGCAUAGGUGCUUGCACCUGAUGGCGAGUGGCGAACGGGUGAGUAAUACAUCGGAACGUGCCCAGUCGUGGGGGAUAACGUAGCGAAAGUUACGCUAAUACCGCAUACGAUCUACGGAUGAAAGCGGGGGACCGUAAGGCCUCGCGCGAUUGGAGCGGCCGAUGUUAGAUUAGGUAGUUGGUGGGGUAAAGGCUCACCAAGCCGACGAUCUAUAGCUGGUCUGAGAGGAUGAUCAGCCACACUGGGACUGAGACACGACCCAGACUCCUACGGGAGGCAGCAGUGGGGAAUUUUGGACAAUGGGCGCAAGCCUGAUCCAGCCAUUCCGCGUGCAGGACGAAGGCCUUCGGGUUGUAAACUGCUUUUGUACAGAACGAAAAGCCUUGGGUUAAUACCCUGGGGUCAUGACGGUACUGUAAGAAUAAGCACCGGCUAACUACAUACG
rnacentral:rRNA from 1 species